AAUAUUAGGUGGAGCAACACUUGUGCGUGAAGUGGGUCAGGGGAGGAAUCCAGCAGCCCUAAGCGAUUUCGGGUGUGUGCUCUAUUUUUUCUUUUUAUG
rnacentral:SRP_RNA from 1 species